rnacentral:rRNA from 1 species
AUUGAACGCUGGCGGCAUGCUUUACACAUGCAAGUCGAACGGUAACAGGCCUUCGGGCGCUGACGAGUGGCGAACGGGUGAGUAAUGCAUCGGAACGUGCCCAGAGGUGGGGGAUAACGCAGCGAAAGCUGUGCUAAUACCGCAUAUUAUCUGAGGAUGAAAGCGGGGGACUAAGCAGCAAUGUUUGGCCUCGCGCCUUUGGAGCGGCCGAUGUCAGAUUAGGUAGUUGGUAGGGUAAAGGCCUACCAAGGCGACGAUCCGUAGCGGGUCUGAGAGGAUGAUCCGCCACACUGGGACUGAGACACGGGCCCCAGACUCCUACGGGAGGCAGCAGUGGGGAAUUUUGGACAAUGGGCGCAAGCCUGAUCCAGCCAUGCCGCGUGAGUGAAGAAGGCCUUCGGGUUGUAAAGCUC